rnacentral:rRNA from 1 species
GAUGAACGCUAGCUACAGGCUUAACACAUGCAAGUCGAGGGGUAACGAGAGGAAAGCUUGCUUUCCUUGUCGACGACCGGCGCACGGGUGAGUAACGCGUAUCCAACCUGCCCCCAACUAGGGAAUAACCUUGCGAAAGUAAGACUAAUACCCUAUAAUUUCCUCAGAUGUCAUCUGACGAGGAAUAAAGAUUUAUCGGUUGUGGAUGGGGAUGCGUCUGAUUAGCUUGUUGGCGGGGUAACGGCCCACCAAGGCAACGAUCAGUAGGGGUUCUGAGAGCAAGGUCCCCCACAUUGGACCUGAGACACGGUCCAAACUCCUACGCGAGGCAGCAGUGAGGAAGAUUGGUCAAUGGGCGGAAGCCUGAACCAGCCAAGUAGCGUGCAGGAUGACGGCCCUAUGGGUUGUAAACUUCUUUUAUAGUAGAAUAAAGUGACCCACGUGUGGAUUUUUGUAUGUAUACUAUGAAUAAGGAUCGGCUAACUCCGUGCCAGCCGCCGCCGUAA